rnacentral:lncRNA from 1 species
GUACGGCGCCGGGGCACCGGGCGGGCAGACUGCAGAGCUCUGUACCAGGGAGGUUCUAGCCCAGCAGUUCCACAGGAAAAGAAAAUGGAUCGUGCAGCUCCGAACAGUUCCCCUUUGCUUUUCUUUUGCCACUCUUCUCCCUGUGGUAGACUAUGACGAAACACUCAGUCCUCUGACGAAGAUGAUUGAACUUUUUGGCUGCAACUAAAGCCACCUGGUUAAUAUGAAGUGACGAAAGCUGGAAUUGGAAGAACAUCUCUAGAGGAUGAAGAAUGAAGAUAGUGGGGAGGUGCUUUGGUACAGAAUACUUUCUCACAGGUAGACUCGUGAGUAAGAGCAAAAGCAACAAAAUCUUAAAAUGACAUCUGGGUGGGUGUGAUUUCUCUUUGUUCUAAUCUAGUUUGUAAGCUAAAACUAGAACAAACACUUUUCCUGUGAAUCUAGAAGAAAAGGUUUGAGUAGACCUCAUUUUGUAUUUUGAGAUUAGGUUACCUUUGUGCUUUCUGGAUUUGUAAUUUAAUUCAUCUGUUUUGGAGAGAAGCCUGAAACUAAUAUGAUCAUAGAGAGAGGAAGAGAGGGCUGUGGCCAGUUUGCGUGAGUGAAACUGGGGACUGGAGUGGAACUCCAGUUUGGGUGUCUAGUGGGUGGUUGCUGGAUGGGAACUCAUUUUGAUUAUUACUGAGCUGAGUAGCAAUCAUUCAGUGCAUAAGUCAUACUGAACUAGUCAGUCAUCCUAAUGUGUUAAUGUCUGUCUUUUAGGGACUACGUUUUAACAAAGCAGUGUUUCUUCUAAUCAGUACAUACUGUGUUUUUGUGUGCUCAGGAUAAAACGUGUGUGACCUUGAUUUAAAAUAAAUACAUCACUACAAGAUCAAGUUGCCUCCUAUAAAAGUAUAUUUGAAAAGUUAAAAAAAAUAAAAAUUAAUAAUAAUAAAAUCUCUUCCUCCAGAUGUCUGCUUCCUUUCUUUGCACUUCGAAACAUUUAAGCAUGCUCUUUACAUGACGCUUAAGUUUUCAAGUCAGAGUUACGAGUUGCUUUAGCCAGGCUUGGAGUCUGAAAAUGAGACCCAGACCAGGACAAUAACAAAAUGACACAAAGAUUGACUGCACUGUACUUGCUGGAUGAAGUGAAAACUGCUGAAAUAUUAAAUCCUAUAUCCUGGGAUUUCACUGCCUGCUGGAACUAAUCUCAUUAAUUUAAAACCACCUGAGGCUUAAGAGAGAUAUACACUGCCGUGUGAAAUUAUAUUUAUCUCAUCCUGGGGGGAAAUCCUUUUCCUCCCCCAGCUUACCUUACUUUUGAUUUUGCCAUUCUUGAAUUACCAGGUCAUUCUUCCCCCAUGGGAAAGUUGCCAUAGCUCACAGCAGUACAAUUGCUGUAUCUGAAGUUCACUGCUGUAUAAAUGCUGAGAUCAUUGUUCGUGUUUGUUUUCUUUAGGAAGUCAUUUAAGACAAAAAAAGAAGAUUGGG